GGGUUGUGAGGUUAAGCGACUAAGCGUACACGGUGGAUGCCCUGGCAGUCAGAGGCGAUGAAGGACGUGCUAAUCUGCGAUAAGCGUCGGUAAGGUGAUAUGAACCGUUAUAACCGGCGAUUUCCGAAUGGGGAAACCCAGUGUGAUUCGUCACACUAUCAUUAACUGAAUCCAUAGGUUAAUGAGGCGAACCGGGGGAACUGAAACAUCUAAGUACCCCGAGGAAAAGAAAUCAACCGAGAUUCCCCCAGUAGCGGCGAGCGAACGGGGAGGAGCCCAGAGCCUGAAUCAGUGUGUGUGUUAGUGGAAGCGUCUGGAAAGGCGCGCGAUACAGGGUGACAGCCCCGUACACAAAAAUGCACAUAUUGUGAGCUCGAUGAGUAGGGCGGGACACGUGGUAUCCUGUCUGAAUAUGGGGGGACCAUCCUCCAAGGCUAAAUACUCCUGACUGACCGAUAGUGAACCAGUACCGUGAGGGAAAGGCGAAAAGAACCCCGGCGAGGGGAGUGAAAAAGAACCUGAAACCGUGUACGUACAAGCAGUGGGAGCCUCUUUAUGGGGUGACUGCGUACCUUUUGUAUAAUGGGUCAGCGACUUAUAUUCUGUAGCAAGGUUAACCGAAUAGGGGAGCCGAAGGGAAACCGAGUCUUAACUGGGCGUUAAGUUGCAGGGUAUAGACCCGAAACCCGGUGAUCUAGCCAUGGGCAGGUUGAAGGUUGGGUAACACUAACUGGAGGACCGAACCGACUAAUGUUGAAAAAUUAGCGGAUGACUUGUGGCUGGGGGUGAAAGGCCAAUCAAACCGGGAGAUAGCUGGUUCUCCCCGAAAGCUAUUUAGGUAGCGCCUCGUGAAUUCAUCUCCGGGGGUAGAGCACUGUUUCGGCAAGGGGGUCAUCCCGACUUACCAACCCGAUGCAAACUGCGAAUACCGGAGAAUGUUAUCACGGGAGACACACGGCGGGUGCUAACGUCCGUCGUGAAGAGGGAAACAACCCAGACCGCCAGCUAAGGUCCCAAAGUCAUGGUUAAGUGGGAAACGAUGUGGGAAGGCCCAGACAGCCAGGAUGUUGGCUUAGAAGCAGCCAUCAUUUAAAGAAAGCGUAAUAGCUCACUGGUCGAGUCGGCCUGCGCGGAAGAUGUAACGGGGCUAAACCAUGCACCGAAGCUGCGGCAGCGACACUGUGUGUUGUUGGGUAGGGGAGCGUUCUGUAAGCCUGCGAAGGUGGCCUGUGAGGGUUGCUGGAGGUAUCAGAAGUGCGAAUGCUGACAUAAGUAACGAUAAAGCGGGUGAAAAGCCCGCUCGCCGGAAGACCAAGGGUUCCUGUCCAACGUUAAUCGGGGCAGGGUGAGUCGACCCCUAAGGCGAGGCCGAAAGGCGUAGUCGAUGGGAAACAGGUUAAUAUUCCUGUACUUGGUGUUACUGCGAAGGGGGGACGGAGAAGGCUAUGUUGGCCGGGCGACGGUUGUCCCGGUUUAAGCGUGUAGGCUGGUUUUCCAGGCAAAUCCGGAAAACUAAGGCUGAGGCGUGAUGACGAGGCACUACGGUGCUGAAGCAACAAAUGCCCUGCUUCCAGGAAAAGCCUCUAAGCAUCAGGUAACAUCAAAUCGUACCCCAAACCGACACAGGUGGUCAGGUAGAGAAUACCAAGGCGCUUGAGAGAACUCGGGUGAAGGAACUAGGCAAAAUGGUGCCGUAACUUCGGGAGAAGGCACGCUGAUAUGUAGGUGAAGUCCCUCGCGGAUGGAGCUGAAAUCAGUCGAAGAUACCAGCUGGCUGCAACUGUUUAUUAAAAACACAGCACUGUGCAAACACGAAAGUGGACGUAUACGGUGUGACGCCUGCCCGGUGCCGGAAGGUUAAUUGAUGGGGUUAGCGGUAACGCGAAGCUCUUGAUCGAAGCCCCGGUAAACGGCGGCCGUAACUAUAACGGUCCUAAGGUAGCGAAAUUCCUUGUCGGGUAAGUUCCGACCUGCACGAAUGGCGUAAUGAUGGCCAGGCUGUCUCCACCCGAGACUCAGUGAAAUUGAACUCGCUGUGAAGAUGCAGUGUACCCGCGGCAAGACGGAAAGACCCCGUGAACCUUUACUAUAGCUUGACACUGAACAUUGAGCCUUGAUGUGUAGGAUAGGUGGGAGGCUUUGAAGUGUGGACGCCAGUCUGCAUGGAGCCGGCCUUGAAAUACCACCCUUUAAUGUUUGAUGUUCUAACGUGGACCCGUGAUCCGGGUUGCGGACAGUGUCUGGUGGGUAGUUUGACUGGGGCGGUCUCCUCCUAAAGAGUAACGGAGGAGCACGAAGGUUGGCUAAUCCUGGUCGGACAUCAGGAGGUUAGUGCAAUGGCAUAAGCCAGCUUGACUGCGAGCGUGACGGCGCGAGCAGGUGCGAAAGCAGGUCAUAGUGAUCCGGUGGUUCUGAAUGGAAGGGCCAUCGCUCAACGGAUAAAAGGUACUCCGGGGAUAACAGGCUGAUACCGCCCAAGAGUUCAUAUCGACGGCGGUGUUUGGCACCUCGAUGUCGGCUCAUCACAUCCUGGGGCUGAAGUAGGUCCCAAGGGUAUGGCUGUUCGCCAUUUAAAGUGGUACGCGAGCUGGGUUUAGAACGUCGUGAGACAGUUCGGUCCCUAUCUGCCGUGGGCGCUGGAGAACUGAGGGGGGCUGCUCCUAGUACGAGAGGACCGGAGUGGACGCAUCACUGGUGUUCGGGUUGUCAUGCCAAUGGCACUGCCCGGUAGCUAAAUGCGGAAGAGAUAAGUGCUGAAAGCAUCUAAGCACGAAACUUGCCCCGAGAUGAGUUCUCCCUGACCCUUUAAGGGUCCUGAAGGAACGUUGAAGACGACGACGUUGAUAGGCCGGGUGUGUAAGCGCAGCGAUGCGUUGAGCUAACCGGUACUAAUGAACCGUGAGGCUUAACCUUACAACGCCGAAG
rnacentral:rRNA from 1 species